rnacentral:tRNA from 1 species
GCUCUGGUAGCCUAAUGGUUAAGCGUUUGGCUGCUAACCAAAAGGUCAGCAGUUCAAAUCCACCAGCU